rnacentral:rRNA from 1 species
AGUGAACGCUGGCGGCAGGCCUAAUACAUGCAAGUCGAACGGCAGCACAGCAGAGCUUGCUCUGUGGGUGGCGAGUGGCGGACGGGUGAGGAAUACAUGGGAAUCUGCCCAGUCGUGGGGGAUAACGUAGGGAAACUUACGCUAAUACCGCAUGCGCCCUUCGGGGGAAAGCCGGGGACCUUCGGGCCUGGCGCGAUUGGAUGAGCCCAUGUCGGAUUAGCUAGUUGGCGGGGUAAAGGCCCACCAAGGCGACGAUCCGUAGCUGGUCUGAGAGGAUGAUCAGCCACACUGGAACUGAGACACGGUCCAGACUCCUACGGGAGGCAGCAGUAGGGAAUAUUGGACAAUGGGCGCAAGCCUGAUCCAGCCAUGCCGCGUGAGUGAAGAAGGCCCUCGGGUUGUAAAGCUCUUUUGUCCGGAAAGAAAAGCGCCGGGUUAAUACCCUGGUGUCCUGACGGUACCGGAAGAGUAAGCACCGGCUAACUUCGUGCCAGCCGCCGCCGUAA